rnacentral:rRNA from 1 species
UCUGCCGGCCGGUGAACGUUACAGCGCAUCAUAGACGAACAGGUUUGAACGCCUGGCCAGAGCGGGUGCGAGCCCCGUAGUCGAAAUGGUGUUAUGGCGUGAAGAGUAUCCCAAGUAGCACGGGGCCCGAGAAAUCCCGUGUGAAUCUGUCAGGACCACCUGAUAAGCCUAAAUACUCCCAGAUGACCGAUAGCGGACAAGUACCGUGAGGGAAAGGUGAAAAGUACCCCGGGAGGGGAGUGAAAUAGUACCUGAAACCGUUUGCUUACAAACCGUCGGAGCCUCCUUGUAGGGGUGACGGCGUGCCUUUUGAAGAAUGAGCCUGCGAGUUAGUGCUCUGUGGCGAGGUUAACCCGUGUGGGGCAGCCGUAGCGAAAGCGAGUCCGAAUAGGGCGAUUCAGUCGCAGGGUCUAGACCCGAAGCGAAGUGAUCUAUCCAUGGCCAGGUUGAAGCGACGGUAAGACGUCGUGGAGGACCGAACCCACUUCAGUUGAAAAUGGAGGGGAUGAGCUGUGGAUAGGGGUGAAAGGCCAAUCAAACUUCGUGAUAGCUGGUUCUCUCCGAAAUGCAUUUAGGUGCAGCGUUGCGUGUUUCUUGCCGGAGGUAGAGCUACUGGAUGGCCGAUGGGGCCCAAAAGCUUACUGACGUCAGCCAAACUCCGAAUGCCGGUAAGUGAGAGCGCAGCAGUGAGACUGUGGGGGAUAAGCUUCAUAGUCGAGAGGGAAACAACCCAGACCACCAACUAAGGUCCCUAAGCGCGUGCUAAGUGGGAAAGGAUGUGGAGUUGCACAGACAACCAGGAGGUUGGCUUAGAAGCAGCCACCCUUGAAAGAGUGCGUAAUAGCUCACUGGUCAAGUGAUUCCGCGCCGACAAUGUAACGGGGCUCAAGCACGCCACCGAAGUUGUGGCAUUGACAUUAGUGGUAGGCCUUCGUGGUCCAGCCGUGUUGAUGGGUAGGAGAGCGUCGUGUGGCGAGUGAAGCGGCGGUGUGAACCAGCCGUGGAUGCCACACGAGUGAGAAUGCAGGCAUGAGUAGCGAAAGACGGGUGAGAAACCCGUCCUCCGGAAGACCAAGGGUUCCAGGGUCAAGCUAAUCUUCCCUGGGUAAGUCGGGACCUAAGGCGAGGCCGACAGGCGUAGUCGAUGGACAACGGGUUGAUAUUCCCGUACCGGCGAAGAACCGCCCAAGACAAUCCAGUAGUGCUAAGUAUCUGAAUCCCUUUGAUGGAUCCCUUCGGGGUGAAGCGUUGGGCCUAGCGUACGACCCCGUGCUGGUGCGUUUAGCGUAUUAACAGGUGUGACGCAGGAAGGUAGCCGAGCCGGGCGAUGGUUGUCCCGGUCUAAGGAUGUAGGGCGAACGAUAGGCAAAUCCGUCGUUCACACAGCCUGAGAUCUGAUGGGUAGACGCAAGUCGAAAUCGGUGAUCCUAUGCUGCCAAGAAAAGCAUCGACGCGAGGUUCUAGCUGCCCGUACCCCAAACCGACUCAGGUGGUCAGGUAGAGAAUACUAAGGAGAUCGAGAGAAUCGUGGUUAAGGAACUCGGCAAAAUGCCCCCGUAACUUCGGGAGAAGGGGGGCCUGAGGCGUGAACGGACUUGCUCCGGGAGCGUUCGAUGGCCGCAGAGACCAGUGGGAAGCGACUGUUUACUAAAAACACAGGUCCGUGCUAAGUCGCAAGACGAUGUAUACGGACUGACGCCUGCCCGGUGCUGGAAGGUUAAGAGGAACGGUUAGCCGCAAGGCGAAGCUGAGAAUUUAAGCCCCAGUAAACGGCGGUGGUAACUAUAACCAUCCUAAGGUAGCGAAAUUCCUUGUCGGGUAAGUUCCGACCUGCACGAAUGGCGUAACGACUUCCCAGCUGUCUCAACCGCGAACUCGGCGAAAUUGCAUUACGAGUAAAGAUGCUCGUUACGCGCAGCAGGACGGAAAGACCCCGUGACCUUUACUAUAGUUUGGUAUUGGUGUUCGGUGUGGCUUGUGUAGGAUAGGUGGGAGACUGUGAAGCGGGCACGCUAGUGUUCGUGGAGUCAUUGUUGAAAUACCACUCUGGUCACUCUG